GACGAACGCUGGCGGCGUGCUUAACACAUGCAAGUCGAACGAAGAGCGAUGGAAGCUUGCUUCUAUCAAUCUUAGUGGCGCACGGGUGAGUAACGCGUAAUCAACCUGCCCUUCAGAGGGGGACAACAGUUGGAAACGACUGCUAAUACCGCAUACGAUCUAACCUCGGCAUCGAGGAUAGAUGAAAGGUGGCCUCUACAUGUAAGCUAUCACUGAAGGAGGGGAUUGCGUCUGAUUAGCUAGUUGGAGGGGUAACGGCCCACCAAGGCGAUGAUCAGUAGCCGGUCUGAGAGGAUGAACGGCCACAUUGGGACUGAGACACGGCCCAGACUCCUACGGGAGGCAGCAGUGGGGAAUCUUCCGCAAUGGACGAAAGGCUGACGGAGCAACGCCGCGGGAGGGAUGACGGCCGUCGGGUUGUAAAGCUCUGUUAAUCGGGACGAAAGGCCUUCUUGCGAAUAGUGAGAAGGAUUGACGGUACCGGAAUAGAAAGCCACGGCUAACUACGUG
rnacentral:rRNA from 1 species